rnacentral:rRNA from 1 species
UACGUAGGGUGCAAGCGUUAUCCGGAAUUAUUGGGCGUAAAGAGCUCGUAGGCGGUUUGUCGCGUCUGCUGUGAAAAACUGGGGGCUCAACCCCCAGCCUGCAGUGGGUACGGGCAGACUAGAGUGCGGUAGGGGAGAUUGGAAUUCCUGGUGUAGCGGUGGAAUGCGCAGAUAUCAGGAGGAACACCGAUGGCGAAGGCAGAUCUCUGGGCCGUAACUGACGCUGAGGAGCGAAAGCAUGGGGAGCGAACAGG